rnacentral:rRNA from 1 species
UACGAAGGGUGCAAGCGUUACUCGGAAUUACUGGGCGUAAAGCGUGCGUAGACGGUUAUUUAAGUCGGAUGUGAAAGCCCCGGGCUCAACCUGGGAAUUGCAUUCGAGACUGAAUAGCUAGGGUGCGGUAGAGGGAAGCGGGAAUUUCCGGUGUAGCGGUGAAAUGCGUAGAUAUCGGAAGGAACAUCAGUGGCGAAAGCGGCUUCCUGGACCAGCACCGACGUUCAGGCACGAAAGCGUGGGGAGCAAACAGG